rnacentral:sRNA from 1 species
GCCACACACAACUCAGAAUGUGGCAAGGGCAAGCCGCUGUGGCAGGCGCUUUUGGAAAAGUAACACUGCGUCUAUCCUUUUUUUUUUUUCCAGUGUGCGUUUUAAUAGAAAAGUUGUCACUUUCCAAAAUGCCCUUUAGAGGUGACACCGUAAUUGAUGGUUGGCAAUGGCUGAUAAAUGACACUUUGAGACAUCUCCAUCUCAUCUCAAGUCACUCCCGCCAGCAGAUGAAGGAUGCAGCGGUCUCGGCCCUGGCUGCUCUAUGCAGUGAAUAUUACAUGAAGGAGCCGGGGGAGGCAGAUCCCGCAAUUCAGGAGGAGCUGAUCACGCAGUACCUGGCUGAGCUUCGGAACCCCGAGGAGAUGACUCGCUGUGGCUUCUCGUUGGCCUUGGGCGCCCUUCCAGGCUUCCUUCUGAAAGGCCGGCUCCAGCAGGUUCUCACAGGUUUAAGAGCAGUUACCCACACUUCCCCCGAGGACGUAAGUUUUGCUGAGUCCAGGAGAGAUGGCUUGAAGGCCAUUGCUAGGAUUUGCCAGACUGUCGGUGUGAAAGCAGGAGCCCCAGACGAAGCUGUGUGCAGAGAGAAUGUUUCCCAGAUUUACUGUGCGCUGCUGGGCUGCAUGGACGACUACACCACGGACAGCAGAGGGGACGUGGGCACCUGGGUCCGCAAGGCCGCCAUGACCAGUCUGAUGGAUCUGACACUUCUGCUGGCUCGGAGCCAGCCUGAGCUGAUCGAGGCCCAUAUCUGUGAGCGCAUCAUGUGCU